rnacentral:rRNA from 1 species
UGGGGAAUUUUGGACAAUGGGCGAAAGCCUGAUCCAGCAAUGCCGCGUGUGUGAAGAAGGCCUUCGGGUUGUAAAGCACUUUUGUCCGGAAAGAAAUCCUUGGCUCUAAUACAGUCGGGGGAUGACGGUACCGGAAGAAUAAGCACCGGCUAACUACGUGCCAGCAGCCGCGGUAAUACGUAGGGUGCAAGCGUUAAUCGGAAUUACUGGGCGUAAAGCGUGCGCAGGCGGUUUGCUAAGACCGAUGUGAAAUCCCCGGGCUCAACCUGGGAACUGCAUUGGUGACUGGCAGGCUAGAGUAUGGCAGAGGGGGGUAGAAUUCCACGUGUAGCAGUGGAAUGCGUAGAGAUGUGGAGGAAUACCGAUGGCGAAGGCAGCCCCCUGGGCCAAUACUGACGCUCAUGCACGAAAGCGUGGGGAGCAAACAGGAUUAGAUACCCUGGUAGUCCACGCCCUAAACGAUGUCAACUAGUUGUUGGGGAUUCAUUUCCUUAGUAACGUAGCUAACGCGUGAAGUUGACCGCCUGGGGAGUACGGUCGCAAGAUUAAAACUUAAAGGAAUUGACGGGGUCAUA